rnacentral:tRNA from 1 species
UCUCUGUUAGUAUAUCGGUUAGUACACGCGCCUGUCACCUCUGCUGGCCGCGCGAAAGCGGGGUUCGACUCCCCGACAGAGAG